GUGUUAGCUGCCAAGCAUCUCUCCGUGUUUCUAAAGAAAGUUGGAAAGUAUGCAGCUUGUGUGACCUUAUUUAGGAUGGAGGCCAGUAUAUAAGAGAGGGCUGGACCACCUCGGACUUUAGUGUACUUCAGUCUCAGGAUACAGUAAGCUUGUGUCUGACCUGACACCACUCCACCACCACCAUGUGUGACGACGACGUGAGUCCCCUUGUGGUCGACAAUGGCUCCGGGAUGGUCAAGGCCGGCUUCGCCGGUGAUGACGCUCCCCGAGCUGUGUUCCCCUCCAUCGUCGGCCGACCUCGUCACCAGGGUGUGAUGGUCGGCAUGGGUCAGAAGGAUGCCUACGUCGGCGACGAGGCCCAGAGCAAGCGAGGUAUCCUGACUCUCAAGUACCCCAUCGAGCACGGCAUCAUCACCAACUGGGACGACAUGGAGAAGAUCUGGCACCACUCCUUCUACAACGAGCUCCGCGUUGCCCCUGAGGAGUCCCCCGUCCUGCUCACUGAGGCUCCCCUCAACCCCAAGGCCAACCGUGAGAAGAUGACCCAGAUCAUGUUUGAAGUUUUCAACACCCCUGCCAUGUACGUCGCCAUCCAGGCUGUCCUGUCCCUGUACGCCUCUGGCCGUACCACUGGUAUCGUGCUCGAUACUGGUGAUGGUGUCACCCACACCGUCCCCAUCUAUGAAGGUUACUGCCUUCCCACGCCAUCCUGCGUCUCGACCUGGCUGGCCGUGACCUGACUGCCUACCUCACCAAGAUCAUGACUGAGCGUGGCUACUCCUUCACCACCACGGCUGAGCGAGAAAUCGUUCGUGACAUCAAGGAGAAGCUUUGCUAUGUCGCUCUUGACUUCGAGAGUGAGAUGAACGUGGCUGCUGCCUCCUCUUCCCUCGAGAAGUCCUACGAGCUUCCCGACGGUCAGGUCAUCACCAUCGGCAACGAGCGCUUCCGCUGCCCCGAGUCCCUCUUCCAGCCUUCCUUCCUGGGUAUGGAAUCUGUCGGCAUCCACGAGACCGUCUACAACUCCAUCAUGAGGUGCGACAUUGAUAUCAGGAAGGACCUGUUCGCCAACAACGUGCUGUCUGGCGGCACCACCAUGUACCCUGGUAUUGCUGACCGCAUGCAGAAGGAAAUCACUGCUCUUGCUCCUCCCACCAUCAAGAUCAAGAUCAUUGCUCCUCCUGAGCGCAAGUACUCCGUAUGGAUCGGUGGCUCCAUCCUGGCUUCCCUGUCCACCUUCCAGACCAUGUGGAUCACCAAGGAAGAGUACGACGAGUCCGGCCCCGGCAUUGUCCACCGCAAGUGCUUCUAAGAAGUUCAUAUGUAGUUUAACAACAAAUAACGCCGAUAUGCCCCAAUAUUCCACUAUUGCAUUUUUGCUCAUAGGUAUAGUUAUUCAUUAGCACCUCGAAAUAAUUUGUCAAAAUAACGCUAGACUUCGGAACAGCAAGGGAAGGAUCAAACAAUGCGCAUUUCGGUUGUUAACUUCAUGCACAUAUGAGGUGUCUUUUUUUUCCUAAGAUCAAUGGUUAAUAAAAAAAAUCUUUUCGUU